rnacentral:rRNA from 1 species
UACGUAGGGGGCGAGCGUUGUCCGGAUUUACUGGGCGUAAAGAGCGUGUAGGCGGCCAGACAGGUCCGUUGUGAAAACUGGAGGCUCAACCUUCAGACGUCGACGGAAACCGUUUGGCUAGAGUCCGGAAGAGGAGAGUGGAAUUCCUGGUGUAGCGGUGAAGUGCGCAGAUAUCAGGAAGAACACCGAUGGCGAAGGCAGCUCUCUGGGACGGUACUGACGCUGAGACGCGAAAGCGUGGGGAGCGAACAGG